GACGAACGCUGGCGGCGUGCCUAAUACAUGCAAGUCGAACGCAGUGGGGACGGGUGAGUAACACGUGGGUAACCUCCCAUCAGAGGGGAUAACACUUGGAAACAGGUGCUAAACCGAUACUGAUGGAUGGUCCCGCGGUGCUUUAGCUAGUUGGUGAGGUAACGGCUCACCAAGGCCACGAUGCAUAACCGGGCUGGAGGGGUGGACGGGCACACUGGGAAUGAGACACGGCCCAAAACCCGAAGGGAGGCAACAGGAGGGAAUCUUCGGCAAUGGGGGGAACCCUGACCGAGGACCGCCGCGUGGGUGGAGAAGGUUUUCGGGGCGUAAAGCUCUGUUGUUAAGGAAGCGGUACUUAACCAGAAAGGGACGGCUAACUACGUGCCAGCAGCCGCGGUAAUAC
rnacentral:rRNA from 1 species